rnacentral:miRNA from 1 species
AACAUCAUUGACCGGAAGGGAUUCCUUUUGGUCGAUGAGGUAUAACAACCUCAUCAGCCAAUGAGGCUCUUAUACCUCAUUAACCGGAAGGAAUCCCUUCGGUGAGGUU